rnacentral:rRNA from 1 species
ACCCUGAUGCAGCGAUGCCGCGUGAGUGAAGAAGGCCUUUGGGUUGUAAAGCUCUUUCGUCGGGGAAGAAAAUGACUGUACCCGAAUAAGAAGGUCCGGCUAACUUCGUGCCAGCAGCCGCGGUAAUACGAAGGGACCUAGCGUAGUUCGGAAUUACUGGGCUUAAAGAGUUCGUAGGUGGUUAAAAAAGUUGGUGGUGAAAUCCCAGAGCUUAACUCUGGAACUGCCAUCAAAACUUUUUAGCUAGAGUAUGAUAGAGGAAAGCAGAAUUUCUAGUGUAGAGGUGAAAUUCGUAGAUAUUAGAAAGAAUACCAAUUGCGAAGGCAGCUUUCUGGAUCAUUACUGACACUGAGGAACGAAAGCAUGGGUAGCGAAGAGGAUUAGAUACCCUCGUAGUCCAUGCCGUAAACGAUGUGUGUUAGACGUUGGAAAUUUAUUUUCUGUGUCGCAGCGAAAGCAAUAAACACACCGCCUGGGGAGUACGACCGCAAGGUUAAAACUCAAAUGAAUUGACGGGGACCCGCACAAGUAGUGGAGCAUGUGGUUUAAUUCGAAGAUACGCGCAGAACCUUACCAACACUUGACAUGUUCGUCGCGACUUUAAGAGAUUAAAGUUUUCGGUUCGGCCGGACGAAACACAGGUGCUGCAUGGCUGUCGUCAGCUCGUGUCGUGAGAUGUUGGGUUAAGUCCCGCAACGAGCGCAACCCUCACUUUUAGUUGCCAUCAUUUAGUUGGGCACUCUGAAAGAACUGCC